rnacentral:rRNA from 1 species
CCUACGGGAGGCUGCAGUGGGGAAUAUUGGACAAUGGGGGGAACCCUGAUCCAGCCAUGCCGCGUGUGUGAAGAAGGCCCUCGGGUUGUAAAGCACUUUCAGUGAGGAAGAACGCCUGGUGGUUAAUACCCAUCAGGAAAGACAUCACUCACAGAAGAAGCACCGGCUAACUCCGUGCCAGCAGCCGCGGUAAUACGGAGGGUGCGAGCGUUAAUCGGAAUUACUGGGCGUAAAGCGCGCGUAGGUGGUUUGAUAAGCCGGUUGUGAAAGCCCCGGGCUCAACCUGGGAACGGCAUCCGGAACUGUCAAGCUAGAGUGCAGGAGAGGAAGGUAGAAUUCCCGGUGUAGCGGUGAAAUGCGUAGAGAUCGGGAGGAAUACCAGUGGCGAAGGCGGCCUUCUGGACUGACACUGACACUGAGGUGCGAAAGCGUGGGUAGCAAACAGGAUUAGAUACCCUGGUAGUC